CAGCCGGACACAGCGGUUGUUUUUUCUGCAGUUUCUACAGGUCUGGGGACAACAUGGAUUCACUCGGAAUAAAGACAGCUCUGUUUGCACAACUUGGCAUGUACGUGACUUUGCCGGAUUGUAGCAAGUCCGGUGAUCCAGCGAUAACAUUGCGUAUUAUUUCAUACAGCAUUAGGAUGAUAAAACACUGUAGAUAUCAUCGAAAUUGACAUCAAGACACUGUUCAACCAACAGUUUUGGGGCACACAUCCAGUUCUCAAAAUAAAUGCACUAAUCUUAUACAAGCUGGCACCAUUGCACAUUGCAAAAAUCAAACACCCCUUCUUCUGGGAGAUAGCAGAAAUUGAAAGCAAAUAAAAUAUGCAUGAAAGCAGGAGGAAACAAACAUAUAUCAAAAAUAAAUACCAAAACCAGAAAAUAAAUGACAUGUCAAAAAUGUAUAAUAGUUGCCGCUUAAAAGCCGCGAUAGAUACAUAUUUUUAUGCUUUUCAAGUUUGCACGCCCGAAAAAAACCGACGGUACACUGUUCAUAUUAAUAUUGGUUUUCCACCAGAGAGAGAGUGUGUGUGUAAUUACUAUUGUUGCAAUUUUAUAUACAUAAAUAAAUAUACGGAAAAUAACGGAAAAAAUAAA